GACAGAGGAUGCAAGCAUUAUCCGGAAUGAUUGGGCGUAAAGCGUCUGUAGGUUGCUUUUCAAGUCUGCCGUCAAAUCCCAGGGCUCAACCCUGGACAGGCAGUGGAAACUACCAAGCUAGAGUACGGUAGGGGCAGAGGGAAUUUCCGGUGGAGCGAUGAAAUGCGUAGAGAUCGGAAGGAACACCCAAGGCGAAAGCACUCUGCUGGGCCGACACUGACACUGAGAGACGAAAGCUAGGGGAGCAAAUGGG
rnacentral:rRNA from 1 species